rnacentral:lncRNA from 1 species
ACUUCCCGAACCUUAGGUAGAAACCCAAGGGUACACACCAAAAAACCUUGCGCCCACUUCUCUCUCUCCUUUUUCUCUCCUCUCGGUAAAUUUUGAAUAGUUCAAAAUUUUUUCAGAACCUCCCCAUGCCCCUUAUCUCUUUUUUUUUCUUUUUUUGUGCAUGGAGACUUUCAUGAGAAACCAUUUCUCGUGUGGAAUAUGGGGCGCACAAAAGAGGAUAAGCUGGCGCAUGGUUAUUUGGUUAUCCAUUCAAAUUCAAAAUCCCUUUGAAUUUGGAUGGAUAACAAACCAAGUUAAUCCAAAUAAUUGGCGCACAGAAACAUGGGCGUGAGAGAGCUUUGCGUGGGAGAAAAUUCACGAGAAAAUUUCUUCUCGUGAAUUCAAAUGGGCGCAAGGAAGUU